GCAAGCCAAAUUUCCCAUAGGGAAAAAUUAAUAUACAGCCUAAGAACUAGCAUUCUGUGCUAAUAAAAACAGUGCUUCAAGUUAAUUGUUAACUCACAGUGACUAUCAGAGGAACAUGUCAGUCUAGGAACAUCACUCCCAAACACUAGAAUCCACAAACGCUAUAACACUUCCCAGCACUGAUGUCCACGGGGGUUUAUUAGUGACUGAAAUCUAAAUUGUAAAGCGUAGGCUGAAAUAUCUAAUUAGGAAAUAUCCCCCAAUUCAGCUUUGAUAACAGCUCAAUUUUAGCCUACAUUUUACAUUUCAAUUUUAAAUUCAGUGUACAAUUCAGUAAAUAAACCACUUUGUAGUAAUGUGAAUUAAAUUUAUUAUCACUCCAGUGUCAUAUACUUGUCAUAGACCUAUAUCUGCUAUAUUACUAUCUUCACAACUAGGCAUUGAUUCCUAAAAAUAUUCCUAACUGUAACCCCUUCCGUGAAUACACAGGCUAUAUUUUGCUUUGCAUAGCAAAGUCAUUUUUUUUUUUUUUAUCUCUUACAAACUCACCGCUUAGUAAACAUGUGCGAAAAUGUGUUUUAAGCAAUUCACCCAGAUAAAAUUCCUGGAAAUCUUUGAAAGAAUUUAUUGGAAAUCAUUUAACAUGUAUUCAUUUGAUUAGUUCCAGUCGUUCCGGUAACAGGAAUCUUAUUCGGAUGAAUCGCUUUAAGCAAAUUUUUUAAUAUGUCUACUGCAUAGUGAAUAAGCUCUUUAAAUUUUACUUAUUACAACAUUAAGGCAUUGAAAGCUCUGGUAGCAUGGCCAAUGCCUUUAUACAUGUGGCUUUAGGUAUUUACAGAGCCAAAUACUUUAUACACUGUAAAUAAAAAAAUAUUCACAUUUUUUUUUUCAUAUUAAUAUAGUACAGCUCUUCCUUUCAUGAUCUGAUUGAUAGGUGGGAUUAGAGACUAAUAGGAAGCUGAUCCUAAACCAGUCUUUGGAGACACCAGUUUGUGUAUUCAAAAGCGCAAUUCAUUUCUGUGUGGUUAUCAACAUUUUGCAAAUGAAUAAAAGCUAAUCAGCCCUAGAAGGACCUUUCGGUGUGCUUAUAAAAGAGACUUAAGCCAAUCCAUCAUCAAUAUGUGAAACAGUUUGGCAUUAAAUAGGGGUAAGACUUGACUCUCCUCAUGUAUCACAUAUCGUAUGAUCAGUUUACUGGGUGCCACCAAAGGCUUUUGGAGAAGUAGAGUAUUUGAAACGGUAUCUUUUUAAAUAGCUGAAGAAGUAAGUUUGAAGCUUAGGAAAGACGAUAAAAGUGAGAAUUGAAUGUUGCAGGUCAAGGCAGUUUUUGAUGUAAAUGAAGGACAGGGUCUCUCAAGUAGCGAAUAGGUAAAGGGCCAUACCAUGUAGGAAUGUAGGGGGGUUCUUAUGAGAGGAGUACAUAAGGGUUAGUGAUUGUGAGAAUUGCUUUUUUCCAACUCUUUAUUUAGAAAGUUUGGGAUUUUAGUAAUCCAGUCAAUAGCGUAAUAGUAUUGUGUGACCAAAUUAUAAUAAAAAAUGUUGGGCACACAACAAAAUACUUUAAAUGUUUGCCCUCCGUUUCAAGUUCACAAAGACAAAAAUCACAGUCUGACCAAUUACUCUACUUAUUUUUUUAGUAAGAUAUGCACCCUAUUGUAUUCCAUCAUCCUUGCUUACUGAUGUGUUUAUCUCUGUCUGACUGUGGAACAAAUAAAUCAUUUUUUGAAAAAAAUGUUGGGCUGGUAGAAGACUUAAAUGUGGACUACGAGUCAGGACAUGACAAUUCUAAAUACCCAGGAAUUUAAUAUAAUAUAGCUGCCAUGUGAGAUUAAAGGUGGGGGAGUUGGGUGGGCUUUAUGAAGGGGCAAAAAAUAAGUCUGGUGCCUGGAAUGUUCAUUUAGAGCUUUAAUUAAACUACAAGUCCCAUCAGCCUAGGAAAAACUGUUGCAUAGUGAGCAUGAUAGGGGGUGCAGUUCUACAACCAAUGGAAAGAUAAUAUUGCAUUUUCUGCAUUAAACAUAAAUGGGGUUUAUAUUUUCAGUGUAGAAUUGCUGUAGAUAAGGAAGUACUAUAAUUAACUCUCUAUUAAACCAUGCUUAACUGGGCAUCAUUUUUACAUUUUGCUAUCAUGCUACAAAACAAGGGGCACAUAUUAUUAAAUAGAGCUUCAAUAUAGAUGGCAGCUUUUAAAAUUACUUCAACUGAUUGCAAUUUCUUUUCAGUUUUAAUUAAUUCCUAUGGCAACUCACUACAGUAUUUAUUGUUUACUGAAUAAACACUUUCAUUAUUUAUUCACGGAAUUAAAAAUCGUGGAUGAUUGCCAAGGUAACGGCAAAAUUUUAAGUAAAAUAAACAGAAUUGAAAAAAAUCCUCCAAAUCAACUAUUUUGAUUUCAUUUUGAUCAUCAAAUGUGGCCUAAAAUGUCCUACGUCAAUUCUCCCCAAUUCUCAGUAUUAUUGAAUAAGCCCCUUGCUAAGCAACAUUGAAAUGUUAAAAAAAAAAAAAACAUGCAUCUUUGUCAUGAUAAAGCCUCUUGUCUGAAAUGACAGUGUGAA